UGACCUGUAAAUGCAUAUAGAAUAAUCAUUUAACUUUUGAAGCCCUCACCCUGACAAUCGUGCCGGCACAACGGCAAGCUUGGCUCCACCUGCUAAGUUUCGGCAUCAGCACAAUUGUCAUUAUUAGAAUAUAUUUUGAUAUCAUUAGGAUACUCUUGCAUUAACUUUUCCCCCUUCUUUUUGACUUCAGACUGAAGUCUUCAGUCGAUUGUCUCUUCUUAUUGUUGUUCUCCAGUUCAAUCGACUCACUCUUUGCUCUAACCUCCAAUUACUCCGAUUAUUUGCUUCUUCGUGCUUUAUUCCGGCUUCUUAGAGCUUCCUCGAGCUUCUUAGAGCUCUGCUUGGUCAAAGAACUUCCUGGAGGUGCCAUUCUCUUUGAGGUGACAUGCAGAUGCUUCUGAUGUUCUAUACUCAGACUCAUUCUGGUGAAUCUGGUAAUGCAUCGGCUAGUAAUACCGAAGUAGUGGUCAAAUCUAAAAAAAAAAUACAAGUGGAGUUAGAGAUGAUUCGGUAUGAGCACACGGUUAUGAAGUUCCGAGAGAGAGGUUAAAGAUUAACUGCAAAUACUGUGACAAGAUGUUUCUGGAGGUCCCUAUAGAUUGAAGCAUCACUUGGGAUGUACCAAGAUUAACGUGGCACCUUGUCUAGUUUUUUUUUUUAUGAAUAAAAAGGCUAGGUCGAGUUAUUAGCCUGCUGUGGCGGCCUAAACUAAGAGAACCUAACCACCACAGAAUGUUCCUUUCGCCAUAGCUCGCUGAGACUUUAGCCCAAUUUGGUCAACGCAGCCCCACCAACACACUAGUAAAUUAAGUCCAAAGCCCACUAGAUCAAGCAUUAUGGGUCGGCCACCGCCAUCCCAUAAUACACACACAUAGUGGCGAGCUCUAUGUCCUCAGUGAGGUUCGAACUCGUGAUGUUCAAGUGGAGCGCUUGAUGCUUAACCACUAGACCACCGUGCUGGUGGUGGCACCUUGUCUUGUUGGUCCUGAUAAUGUGAAGAAUAAUAUGUUCACAAUUUGUAUGUGUUUAGAGGACCUUGCAACGAAGAAAAAAUAAGCUAAUAGUUGUAGGUUGGAAGAUGAUGAUGUUGUAGACAUUGAUAAUGAUGAUGAAGAUGCAAGGGCUAGUAUAAAGAAGAAGGAAAAUGAAACAACUGAAAUUUCUAGUUUGUUUAAGAAGAAAAGUUUGAAUAUUCAAAGUAAGCAAAAGCAGUCAACAAUUAAUCAGAUGAUGAAGAAAGAUUUGAGAGAGGAUGUGUGCAUGCAGAUUGCUUAUUUUUUCUAUACAAGUGCAAUUCCAUUUAAUUGUGUUAAGAAUCCUGAGUUUGAGAAGAUGUGUCAUUUGAUUGGAAAAUAUGGAAUUUGAUUGAAACUUCCAUCUUAUCAUGAGAUUAGAGAUAAAUAUUUGAGAAAAGAGGUUGAUAAUACCAUAUCAUUACUUGAGGAGCAUAAGGUUGUAUGGAGAAAGUCGGGAUGUUCCAUAAUGUUAGAUGGUUGGAUUGAUAAGAAGAAGAUGUCCAUAUGCAAUUUCAUAGUGAAUAGUCCCCAAUGAAAUAAUUUUUUUGACUUCCAUUGACAUAUCAUACAUAUUUAAGAGUGUAGAUAAAGUAUUUGAGAUGAUAGAUGAUAUAGUAGAGCAAGUUGAGGAAGAAAAUGUAGUUCAAAUUGUCACGUAUAAUGCUGCCAAUUACAAGGCGGUAGGUGAGAUGUUAAUGGAGAAAAUGAAAAAAAGUUAUUUUAGACUCCUUAUACAGCUCAUUGCAUAGAUCUUAUGCUGGAGGAUUUGGAGAAGAAGAUUAAGGUACAUGAGCUAACGACAAUAAAUGGUAGGAAGAUCACGACCUUCACUUACUCGAGAACACUCAUCAUCACGAUACUGAAGCAUUUCACCAAGGGCAAAGAUUUGACUAGAUCGGCUGUGACUCACUUUGCUACUGCUUAUUUGACUUUGGGAUGCCUCUCCGACAAUAGAAACGCUCUAAGGACUAUGUUUGCAUCCAAACAAUGGAAAUGGAGUCGAUUUGCAUAGUUAGAAGGUGGAAAGUAUGCGGAACGUGCUAUUAUGGAUAACAGAUUUUGGAAUAAUAUUAAUAUAAGUUUGAAGGCUGAAUCUCCUCUCAUUAAGGUGCUCCGCAUGGUGGAUUCAGAUCAAAAGCCCACGAUGGGCUUUAUUUAUAAUGAGAUAGAGAAAGCUAAGCUGAAAAUCAAGGCAAACUUCAAGGGUGAUCGAGAGAUGUAAAAUUAUUUAUAAGCUACUAUAUAUUUAGUCUUUAAUUAUAUUUGAAAUUUGUAAAUAUCAAAUAAUGGUUUGUUUCAUACUUUUAGCUAUGUUUAUAUUUGGAAGGUUAUUGAUGAGAGAUGUGAGGUUCAACUUCAUAGGUCUCUCUAUGCUGCUGCUUAUUACUUGAAUCUCUAGUUGCAUUUCUCUUCUGAAUUUAGAGCUAAUAGGGAAGUCAUGCGUGGAUUAUAUAAGAUUAUGGAUAGGAUGCUAGAUGAUGAAGAGAGGGAUAAGGUCGAUUUGCAGUUAGAGGAAUUCAAACAUGAAAGAUGGCUCUUUGGAUUCUCAUCUGCGAAGUCUAUGAGGUUCAAGAAGACACCGACAGAUUGGUGGGAGUCAUAUGGUGCUGAUACCCCAGAGUUGUAAAGAUUCAGUAUAAGAAUAUUGAGUUUGACUUGUACCUUUUCGGGAUGUAAGCGUAAUUAGAGUGCUUUUGAAAUUGUAUUCUAUGAAUUCGUUUUUUUACUAUGUGUUACCUUACCAGAGUUCAUUUUCAUAUAU